GCAUCGCGUCGCCCCUCACCAUCAUCCUAUGGAAAAGUGGUGUAGGGAGCGGAUAUUGGUCUCCCGUGCUCAAGGUGUGGUUGAUCUAAAUAGGAGUCCUCCUUCGGUGGAUGCAUGGCUAGUGGUGGUUGUAUAAUCUCGUAUCGAGCCGUGUGUUGCGAGCCGCAAGCGAGUUUCUCUUCAAAGAACCCUUAGUGUCGUCUUGCGACGAUGCUUCGA
rnacentral:misc_RNA from 1 species